ensembl:lncRNA novel transcript, sense intronic to ZC3H14
GGCCUUGCAGUUGUAGAGGAAUUUCUUGGGGGAGCAGGUUGGUAUGCUUACACUCCUACUGGUUGUCUAUUAAAAAUAUUAAAAUUUUGUCUUUUAAAUGUCUGUCUCUGGCAGUACCAUUCACAAGCCUUCUUCUCUGCCUUACAUCCUUCUUGGUUUUUACUCAUUGCUGCAAUCUCUCACAGUUGGAUGGCCCUUUGUUUCAUCCAAAUUCAAGGCUUGAUAUAUCAUCUCUGCACUGUGACUCUCACAUUUUUAUAUCUCCAGCCUGGACCUUGCCCUGAAUUCCUCAUUUCUGUCCAACCACUUUAUAUUUCUUCUUGGAGGUGUAAUAAAUCAUUUCAAACUUGUCCAAAGCUCAACUAUGAAUUUUCCUCUCCUGUCUGUUCUUCCUGUAGUCUUCCUCAUUUUAGUUUAUUGGUGACUUCACCUUUCCAGUUUCUGAGACAGAAUCCUGUUGCCAUUCUUUUUUUCUCUCCUUCUCCUUUCCUUCCUCUUCCCUCUCUACCUCUGUCUCCCUCCUUCCCUUGUUCCACCUGUCAGCCUCUACCUCCAGAUUUAUAGAAUUCACUACCGUUUAUCACUUCUGCCUCUACCACCCAUCAAAGUCACUGUCUGGCCGGGUGCGGUGGCUCAUGCCUGUAAUCCCAGCACUUUGGGAGGCCGAGGCGGGUGGAUCAUAUGAGGCUAGGAGUUCGAGACCUGCCUGGCCGGCAUAGUGAAACCCCGUCUCUACUAAAAAUACAAAUAUUAGCUGGGCAUGAUGGCACAUGCCUGUAGUCCCAGCUACUCAGGAGGCUGAGGUACGAGAAUUGGUUGAACCUGGGAGGCGGAGGUUACGGUGAGCCGAGAUCAUGCCACUGCACUCUAGCCUUGGUGACACAGUGACACUCUGUCUCCAAAAAAAAAAAGGCAAAAAAAAGUCACCGUCUGUGAUUUGCCUUGGUUACUUGAUUAUUGGAAUAGUGUGUUCUUACAAGGUGUGCCUGCUUUCAAACUUGCCUUCCUUCAGUCCAUCCCACACAGCAGCAGCAGUGAUCCUUUACACUGUAAAUUAGAUCAUGCUACUUUGCAGCUUAGAACCCCCCAGGGGCUCCCUGUCACACUGUAAGUCACAGUGUUCUGCCUUCUCAUCACCCACCUGCCUCCCUCUGCUCUGGCUCCCCGUGCUUGCUGCUGCUCCUGCACACUGGCCUGCUUGUCCUUCAGGACGUUGGAAGAGCUGCGCGUCUCAGAUGCUUUUGCCCUCUCCUGAGAAUGUUUACUUUGGAUGUUCUCAUAUCUCAUCCAUGUGUCAUCUUUGAGGCCUUCUCUGGCCCCAUCCCCACACUCCCUCUUUUCUGAAGCUUUAUUUUUCCCCAUAACGUUUGUCACCAUCAAAUACAUAUUUUAUGUUUUUGUAGUUUAGGUAUUUUUAUCCGAACGUAGGUCUUUAUGUUUUAACGUGAAUUGUUUUCUUUUAGCAUGUAUUUUUUUGGGGGUCUUGAGAGCUACCUCCUUCCCCGUCUCAACAGAGUCUGUCCUUUUUGAGCAGGGAUUUAUGUGUUUGUUCUGUAUGGCUGUUACUGAGUGCCCAGAGCAGUGUCUGGCAUAUAGUAGCAGGAGCUCAGUCAGUGUUUGUUGUCUGAGUAAAUGUCACUCCUGCCUUGCAUCUAACCUGCAGUUUUCACAGGGGCUCAUUUGUGGUUUUGCCUGCUGUGCCUUACAGCCAGUAUUUGUCCAUAUAUUUUCUAUUACCCAGAGAUUGUUGACAUCUCAUCUGCUGCACCUUGUAACCCCCAUCUCUAAACCAGUGAUCUCCAUCAUAUUUUUGACCUGAAAAUUUUUGUACAGUAGCCAUUUUUAAGUAUGUAUACCAAUAUAUGUAUUUUACUUACGUACACAUGCUGUAUUGAUAUGAAUAUUAGAAAACAUAAGAAUAGAAAUCUGCCGGGCUUGGUGGCUCACGCCUGUAAUCCCAGCAAUUUGAGAGGCUGAGACGGGCAGAUCAUUAGGUCAGGAGUUCGAGACCAGCCUGGCCAACAUGGUGAACCGCCGUCUCUACUAAAAAUACAAAAAUUAGCCGGGUGUGGUGAUGGGUGCCUGUAAUCCCAGCUACUUGGGAAGCUGAGGCAGGAGAAUUGCUUGAACCUGGGAGGCGGAGGUUGCAGUGAGCCAAGAUUGCGCCACUCCACUGUAGCCUGAGCGACAGGGUGAGACUCCAUCUCGGAAAAUAAAAUAAAAAAAGAACAGAAACCCAAAGAUCAUAGGGUAGAGAUGUAGAUAUUAAGUUCUUUAAUUCACUUUUAUGGACUCUUCAGAAGGAGAGAUUAUAAUUGUAUAUGCUUGAUACAUUGUGUUGGACUGGAAGCACUGUGAAAGAUUCUUAGUCAAGGGGAGAUUUUACAUUCAAAGAAAAUGGAAAAUCCCCCUGCUUUGCUCGGAGGGAAGAACUGCACUUAAAAGUUUGAUGUGUAUUGGUGUCGUCUUCUAGGCAUUUCUUAUAUCUGUGAACAUGUGCACCCUUUGUAUAUAAAGUGGAAUUACAUGUUUACUUACGCACACACACACAUGUACAUAUAAAGCAGGAAUUAUACUACCCAGAGUUCUCUGUGACAUUUUUGUUCCACUUAAUGUAUCAUGGGAGAGUCCUUGAGUGUGGACCUAGGAGCCAGACUACCGAAGGUGCAGACCCUGCAGUUUACUAGUUGAUUUAACCUUUCUGUACCCUAGUUUCCUAAUCUAUAAAUGAAGAAUAACGGUAGCAUUUACUUCAGAGUUCUUGGUAGGAGUAAAUGUUAAAAUACAUAAGCUUUCUCUGCUGAUGAAUAUUUACACUGGAGUCUUAGGAAGGGUCCUUGCUUAUUUUCUAUUCUAAAGUUGGGCUGGACAUAGUGGGCCAUAUGGGUGCCAUCAGAUGGGCUCUUGUUUCUCUGUGACCCGUUCUGUUAGACCUCUUUCCUGCUUUUUUCCUUGAGGUUGUUUAUCUGUCCUCUAGUGAACCAGCUGGUUUGCAGGUGGUGCUUUUCUGAGAGUGUCUUGCUGUUAACAGUUACUAUGGAUGUCAUAUGCCAGCUGGUUCUGUUAAAAAAAAGUCUGUGAAUCCAAAGCCUUGAAUUUUGAACAUUAUUUUCUGUCUGGAAUUUUGAAGAACUGAUUCAUAAAGUGGAGAAAUGAAUAAAGAUUUUUAUUUUACAAA